rnacentral:lncRNA from 1 species
UGGAAAGACAGGAAAUUAAAUUGAAGGUGAGACUGCAGGGGAAACUAUGUCUUCAUUCACCUAGGGAUCACAUUGGAACCUGUGAACGACAAGACAUUUGACCAUCAACCCACCAUUUCCACACAGAAGUGUCAGAGUUGAGAGUGAGCUGGGUGUACAAGAAGCAGCUGCAAGGCAUCAGGGAAGUCCCUGAAGCGGGAUAAAGGGUUGGGGGCGGAAAUGAUGUCAAGAUAAAUGAACCAUGAAACCCAAUUUAUAAAAGAGCUACCCAGAAUUGCAGCAAAUGCACGGAUACUCCCAUCUCAAAUGCACACCUACAACAUGAGCUAUGAAACCCAGUUUAUAAAAGAGCUACCCUGAAUUGCAGCGAAUGUAGGGAUACUCCCAUCUCAAAUGCACCCCUGCAGUGACAUCUGUCAGGAGCCUAUGGAGACAGCUGCCUCACCCAGAAGGCCUCUUGCAUUUUUAUUUUUGCAAAUAUUCAGCAGGGAUGGAGGGGACUGCAUCUGCUCUCUCCACUUUCUUCCUGGAGAGAGGAGGACAUGAAGGAGAACAGAAGGCAAGGACAAUACAUUCCACUCACAUUUCUAAGAAUUCCAUGACCGGAAGCUGCCACAAAAAUAAUGCAA